UACGUAGGGUGCGAGCGUUGUCCGGAAUUAUUGGGCGUAAAGAGCUUGUAGGCGGUUUGUCGCGUCUGCUGUGAAAAUCCGGGGCUCAACCCCGGACUUGCAGUGGGUACGGGCAGACUAGAGUGUGGUAGGGGAGACUGGAAUUCCUGGUGUAGCGGUGAAAUGCGCAGAUAUCAGGAGGAACACCGAUGGCGAAGGCAGGUCUCUGGGCCACUACUGACGCUGAGAAGCGAAAGCGUGGGGAGCGAACAGG
rnacentral:rRNA from 1 species